rnacentral:rRNA from 1 species
UACGGAGGGUGCAAGCGUUAUCCGGAUUCACUGGGUUUAAAGGGUGCGUAGGCGGGUUGGUAAGUCCGUGGUGAAAUCCCCAAGCUUAACUUGGGAACUGCCGUGGAUACUAUCAGUCUUGAGUACCGUGGAGGUCAGCGGAAUAUGUCAUGUAGCGGUGAAAUGCUUAGAUAUGACAUAGAACACCAAUUGCGAAGGCAGCUGGCUACACGAAUAUUGACACUGAUGCACGAAAGCGUGGGGAUCAAACAGG